rnacentral:tRNA from 1 species
CGGGCUGUGGCGCAGCUUGGUAGCGCACUUGACUGGGGGUCAAGGGGUCGCAGGUUCAAAUCCUGUCAGCCCGACCAAAA